GCCUGUAUGGUGUAAUGGUUUAAAUGUUGGACUACAACUCUGAAGACUAGGGUUUGAAUCUCCACUCAGCCA